ensembl:ribozyme Gm26351 predicted gene, 26351
GGCAGAGGAAGCUCACCAGCAGGACCACUUGCUGAGUUCCUUUCACUCUUAGGCCCCUGGAAAGGUUUGAGACUGAGGCCUCCUGCACCCUAACUGCUCUUCUGAGCUGGGAGGUGAGCUCGCAGAGAGCAGGGCUCUAUGCUUGGGCAGACUGGGUAUGAGAAGCCCUGAGUGGGCAGAUGCCUCCCUCACCAGAGCUUAGACUUUCUAUUUCAUCCAACUUUUCUCUGCA